GACCGGGUGGCGCAACUGGUAGCCGCGUUAGAUUCCAAUUAUAUAGAGUUAUCUAAAGGUUGCGGGUUCAAGUCCCGUUCUGGUCA
rfam:Pneumocystis murina B123 supercont1.3, whole genome shotgun sequence.